UACGGAGGGUGCGAGCGUUGUCCGGAAUCAUUGGGCGUAAAGGGCGCGUAGGCGGCUCGCGAGGUCGGGGGUGAAAUCCCACGGCUUAACCGUGGAAGGGCCUUCGAUACCGGCGGGCUCGAGGAAGGUAGGGGUGCGCGGAACUUCUGGUGGAGCGGUGAAAUGCGUUGAUAUCAGAAGGAACGCCGGCGGCGAAGCGGACGCACUGGAUCUUUUCUGACGCUGAGGCGCGAAAGCCAGGGGAGCAAACGGG
rnacentral:rRNA from 1 species